AGGAUUAACGCUGGCGGCGUGCAUGAAACAUGCAAGUCGAGCGCGGUGUGAUGCGGGGUAACCCAAUUCACAUCUAGCGGCGAACGGGUGAGUAACACGUGAGCAACCUACCUUUGAGUUGGGGAUAGCCCUGGGAAACCAGGAUUAAUACCCGAUGUGGUCACAACAGGACAUCCUGAUGUGAGUAAAGGCGCAAGCCGCUCAAUGACGGGCUCGCGGCCUAUUAGCUUGUUGGUGGGGUAACGGCCUACCAAGGCGAUGAUGGGUAGCUGGUCUGAGAGGACGAUCAGCCACACUGGGACUGAGACACGGCCCAGACUCCUACGGGAGGCAGCAGUUAGGAAUUUUCCGCAAUGGGCGAAAGCCUGACGGAGCAACGCCGCGUGAGUGAUGAAGACCUUAGGGUUGUAAAGCUCUGUCGGAGGGGAAGAACACAAUGACGGUACCUCCAAGAAGCCCGGCUAACUACGUGCCAGCAGCCGCGGUAA
rnacentral:rRNA from 1 species